rnacentral:lncRNA from 1 species
AAUAAGAUAAGUACCUUUGCUAAUAAUCCAAAACCUUUCAUCUUCUCUUUCUAGAUAUAGCAGCCUACCCAUAUUGAUAGUGGAAUUAUUGAUCUCCUCUUUCGGAUAGCCCAUUUUGAAUAAGUGUUAUGGGUAUGGGCUUGACCUACCAGUUGAAUGGAAUCUACCGUUCUUUAUGCUCUCGCUAGCUUUGAACUUGUUUGUACCAGUAAUCAAACCCAGAAUCUCAUUUCCCAUUGCAUUCAUCGCAUAGAGCCAGAUGCCGCAUCCACAUGCCUAUUUAGUAAGUGGGGUGUAUCCUUGGUGACACUUGAGAAAUAAUCCUAUACUUCCAAUAACCCACUACUUCCUCCACAGAUGGUACAUGGCAGGCAUCUGCCGAAACUAGAGGCGAGCACUUUUCAAUCAAUUACGAGAGGCAUUCGCUUCUCUAAUCUUUAAUAAGCGAAGCAACAAGCCUAGUAGGGGAAAUACCUUCCUCAGGAAUGUCAUCAAAGCCAGGUUCUCCAAUCGUAAAAGGGAAUAUUCCAUGGCACAAGGGUUGAUUUUAGGUGUUGUCCUUGGCAGACCACCACAAAAGGUCCGAAUCAGGCGAAACUUCUUUUGGUGCCAGCGAGAAGUAGUAACAAGAACUCCUCCUCUGUUCAAUAUCAGCCUGGAUUAGGUCUAGGUCAUAAUGAAUUUUAUGAUACCUUCCUUCGUCCAUAGAUCAGCGUUAUGCUUCUGUCCCGUGAUGAAGAAGGAUAGAAGAAUGGUAAGAUAGGAUCGUAUUAGUGAGUCGUGGGAAAAGAGUUUUUUCGUACCUUGAUUGGACCCACCCAAAAGCAACAGGAAUCCCUUUCUCCUCCUAUAAGGAAAUCUCGUCGUUUCACUCUUCUUCAAGUACCAUCGGAUUAGUCAACUCAAACGCUGAGAGAUUACAAUAGAACCAAUGCGGCUUUGAGGCUGGCUCCACUCUCGAAAUAGAGCAGUUACUUCGUUGACGACAAGAACCCCAUUUCCACUAGCCAAAGAGAAAUUCAUUUCUUCGACUCGAUGCCUCCUCAUUUUCUCACAUUCCCAUAUUAAUAAAAGAAUUAGGGAAAUGCGAGGGAAAAGAAUGCCAAAAGCAUUUAGAGAUUUGACUGGGAUUCGUUCUGGCUCAGAUGGCGAGGGAUUGCUAUAACUAUUUUUAGAAGCAUUAAUGAGAUCUCUUUUUUUCUUCAUAAGCUUGCAUCAUGAAUCCCACUUCCCACUUUACCUGCCUCUUUAGUAGUCUCACAUCUCGGUUUAAGAAAGUGCUCGCUAUAUUCCCAUACCUUCCUGUGCUUAAUACCUAGCUUCAAAGAGCCCACUCUUUUAUUUCAUAGCCGAGAGGCAUGAAAGGUUGGGGAAAUCCCUCUCCUGUGUGGGUCGUAAGAGUCGAUUAUUCAAGCGAGACCUUAGAGGGGAGGACACACCAUAGCACCCAUUGGUAGACUAGACUCCGGAGCUUCAAACAAACUUACAGUAAUCCUAAUCAAAGCCGGUGCCCUCACCUCCUUCUUCACCGCCGGCGUCUAGGGUUUGGGUGAAGGUAUCAGCUCUGAUACCAUGUGUGACAAAUUCUUCCCAUUUUCCUGUGAUAGUCAAUAAACACAACCCUUACGUAUCCGUAUUUUGUAAUCACCUUUCGCUUCCCGUCGCUUCCUUAUACUAGAGUUCUGAUGACGCGUGCAACCACGGCUACUUCGCUACCCUACUAUUAAAAAUUACGGAUUUUCGAUUGUUUAUCCAAUGCAGCUUAAUAUGGUUAUGCCAGCAAGGAGCAUGAACUGAAGCUGGUUAUUUACUUAGAAGAGGAAACGGCUAGUCAGCAGAGCAGCGCAGCGGAGUCAUCAUAUUAUCAUAUUCUUGAGUCUCUCCCCACGGGAUGACCGCUUCCACCAGACUCUAUUUCUAUUGGUUCACCUUAGAUUUAUUGGUUGUCUACAUCCGUCUAAUCCUUAUCUAUAAGAACAUAAUCCUAAGCUAUGGAUGCUUCGGCCGCACUCUCUACUCAGCUAUCUGUUUCUACUGCAUUGCGUUUUGAAGGCCCGAUACAAAAGAAAGUGGCCUUCCUUAUUAGUAGUGAUGGAGACGUAAGUUCCGAGAAGGAAUAACCUAAAGCCAGUGAUAGAAUCUGUACAACCGGCAGGAGCGAUUGAUCAGAUAUCGCAGGAAGAGUGAACUAGUAGGCUUCUUGAUCCUCCAAUCGAUGGUAGUCACAAAGCCCGCACAUUCCAAUUCGAUCAUAACAUGACUAGUUUCCUAAGGCAUGACUUAUCUUCCUAGAAUAGCAAGCAUAUCGUAGCUAUUUCACAUAGUGUCCUGAGAUGUCAAAAGCUCUAGUCAGUGCUGGCCUUACUCUUCCCAUUCCUUAUGCUAAGUGGCAACCUCUUGUUUAAGAGUGCGGAAUCCUAUUUGUGUAUCAGAAGACUAUGGUGACCCGUAGAUCUUCUAUUUCGCCGGAAUUCGUUGAUUGUCAUUUACAAUGUUCGUUGUAAGAUCACUGAAGGUCCUAAAUUGGGAGAGUUUGCUUGCUAUCGAAAAAAUAGUGGAAUCUAAAAAAACAAUGAAAUCCAUUCACACAAGCUGGACCAUUGCCUUCGGCAACGCCCUAAUUCCUUUCCUAUCUUUCUUCUUUUUCUCAAGGACCUGUAAGAUGAAGCAAAUCCCUUUCUUGAAUGGCCGAGGAAGAGGCGGCACUAAACAGAACAAGAUCCCCCUCUACCUAUCCUUGGGGCUGUGCGCAUUCUUAAACUUGAGCUGGGUAGGACUCAAGAGAAGGGUGCCUUGGGAGAUAAGUAGUUCCUCACCUAAAGCCCUCGUAGAGUCUAAGUAGUGGACCAGAAAUAUGACAUCCUUCCCGCUGUACUAGAUUUUAUCUGGUUAAAGCCAGGUGUGCACAUUAUAUUCAUUAUAGAAGAUAUAGAAGAUACUGCCAUGCCAGCUGUUUCUUAUUGGUAAGCUUGCUUUUCGUCGAAUGUCUCUAAAGAGUGAUGGUGAGUCGAGUAGCAUGAAUUGUCUAUCCAAGGGGUCGCUAAUGCGUUAUUUGUAUAGGAUCCCAGUUAUUAUUGUCAGCUAGAUCUACAUAAUAUGUUUCACGCGGAGCCCUUACUUGGUUCGAUUGGCAUUUUUCUUAUCAUCCAUCCACAUAGGGAGAAAGGCCAAGGGCCCAGUGGAGUGAUAAAAUGAACUAUCCAAAUUAAGCUAAUCCCGUGUCCAAGUUCAAACCCCACAUAGCCACUCUUCUUGAUCCCCCACCAUCACUUGAAACGAAGAAUCAACCCGUUUGUUUGCCAAUGGGUUUCUGCACAGAGAGCUAGAUUAGGGAUCAGAUGUGCACCUUUCACUAGAUUAAGGUACCAAAUCCCUUACUAGGUUUGGUAAGUAUGUUAUGAAGGUGAGAAGUCAUCAAACUUCUCGGUAGUGCAAUGGAUUAAGGUAAAUGUGCUAGCUUUCCUCCUGCUGGUUGAUGAAAACGGACCUAUCCCAUAUCUCAAAAUGGCCCCGUACACUCCAAUGGGAAGUAGAGAAAAGGGGAAGUGCAGAAAAGAAGGAUCCCCAAAUCAGAGGGUAUAUAAACUUUGUUUGAUUAAGGGAAUUAGAGAAUAGAGAGCAAUGGGAUAGGAAAAGCUCACAGGAAUACAGGUACCGUUUCCCAGGGAAAAGAAAAGGGAACUUCACCUCUUCCUACUAAUAAGAUAAGGCAAUCCAAUCCUGAUUCAAGAUCAUGUUGUCUCAACAUAGCAAUGUGUGUUAUGGCAACCUGAUUGUGAUAACAACAUCAAAGCCAAGAAAUCAAGGUCGAACAGUUUGUUCCGUCAUCAACUGUCAAUUCUUUCGAAAGACAUGCGAUUAAACUACGCAUUCGACCCUUAUCAGCAAGGUCAUCACUUGUACCAAGUCUUAGAAAGGCAGCUGCGGCACGUCUUCUCUAUGACGUUAGGGCAAGGCUACCUCGCCAGCAAUGGUUAGUGCAGUAAGGAUAAUCGGAUGUGAACUAGCUUGCUCUGCUUGCGGAGAAAAACCAACCAAGAGGCGAUGGAACCCUCAGAAAACUGCUAAUAUUGCCCCGGGCAGUAUUGGCCAUAGACUUGAGUGCAAAGGACAAGAAGGCAGGAUCUGGAAACAGCAAACACAGGGAUAAUCCAGGAAGUAGCAAAGAAUCUAGUAUUCCACUAUAUAUAGGUCUGAUAGAUCAACAUAUCCAUGAAGAAAAGGCUGACCCUAUCCACCUCCUUUGCGGAAUACCAGAUCAAGAGAUGAAUUAGCGGAUCACAGGUCUAAGUCGAAGCAUGCCAGAACCUUCUUUAGUAGUGAGCCGUACCGACUAGCUCCUAGCAAGGGCUUCAAGAUCACAGUAAUGCCUGCCAAAACUUUCCUUGGGUACGAAUGUCAUGUUCAAAGCAGGUUUCUCUAGACACCUUGGAAAAGAUCACUGACGAGCUCAAUUUCAAAGUGUGAAUGAAAUUAUCAGUUUCAUCCUCUUUAUGAGCCUGAGAUCAUAUGGGUCAACAAUUCUCAUUUCUUAGUUAUAGAUUCUAUAUUCUCAAGGAAGUGAGCCACUCAACCUCAGCCUAGUGUAUUCUCCCCGUUACCUGGACCUGCCUCUCCCGCAGUCAAAACUCUCCUCUACAGCCCUCUGGCUGGGCCAGAAGCCUCGUCUCCUUUAACUGAUUCAAGGGAUUCAGUAAAAAUGAAAGUAAUAUCACAUAAAAUUGGAUUAUCUAAAAACUCGUGAAAAUGACAACGCUAAAUCGAAAUUCCUUUAUUUAUAUACAACACACACAUAUUCCUCCCUUACGAACAUGAAAAUCCAGUGGAUGGUUUGGAAGGCUUUGACCUGAUCUUUCGAUUUAUAAUGAGAGAAAAUCCAUAGAAAGAUGGAAGUCAUCAUCAUCCCCUUUAUCGAUCACAGCCUCUUCCUCCACCCAUGAUUUUGUUUUCCCAUUGACAAAUUAGACGAAGACGAACUUGCAUUUGUUGAAUAAAAAAAGAAGAAGUGUUCUCUUUCUCCAGUGAAAAGAACAGUCUCGUAGGAAGAUCCAAAUACUUACUAUAUGUGCAUUUAUGUAUCAACUCUUAUAUAGUCUAGUUUUCCCGCCCUAUCUAGAGAAGGAAUCAAUUCCCCUUUUUGAAUGUACAAAAAUUGGUAGAGCUCAGCAUGUCUGGAAGCAUGGGAGAACGCUCUUCUGCUUAUAUUAUUACCAGUAUUCGAUAUUGGGUUAUUCAUAGCAUUACUAUACCUUCCUUAUUCAUUGCGGGUUGGUUAUUCGUCAGCCCGGCUUUCACUUGGAAAAAUAGGAGAUUUAGUUCCACGCUUUGAUUGGUAGCAGAAGGGAGGGCGCGUUGCCAGCCUUCAUUUUUCUUGGAUAUUCAACACUAAAUGAAAUGCAAAUGCAUAUGAGAGAACUUCAAACUACUUUACUUAUUUGCAACAGCAAGCUGAAUAAUAGAAUAAAUAAGCAAGGAAGGAAAGAAAGAAUAGGGUUGUCGCUAUACGCUGUUUGGAUUAGAUGUCGCGAUAUCGGUUGUAGUAUUUCCGCUCUUUCUAUAAGCUAAGAGAGAUGUCGCAUAAUCGGUUGUUCAUGAUCUUAUAAUUCAUGGACCAAAGUCGCAAAUCACUUGUUCUCAUUCAAGCAUGAGUUCGUUCAAAGUCGGCAAGGGGAAUCAGAGAAAGGGCUGUUUAGUCAACAAUCAUGACCAUGGGAACAUUUGUUCGCUUUCUAGGUACCCCCAGAUCUACUAGUCAUCGCCUUUGAGCUGGGAAAAGCAUUUACCCUGAGUCGGCAAUUCCUGAUUCAGAAAGGAAAGGUAUGUGGGUAGACAUUGAGUUAGAGAUUGAAUGAAGGGGCACACUAGAGAAAAGCAAGGACAAGUAGCUAGUUGACUAAUGCUUUCGAGCACGUACGCUGGCGCUCUUUGAUAGAGCAUUAUCUACAACCCUGAAGCGAACUAUGAAAAAGAAAUCUAGCAGUCUCUUCUAGCAAUGAAUUGUAGCAGGGCUUGGUCUCGAAAGGUAUAGAUACCAACAGAAGCUUGGAAAUAAGAAGGAAUGUCGACCUACCGCUCCGUGGGCUUUGAACCUUGCUUUUCUAUCAAAUUCUCAGAUGAUAUAGCUGUGUAAAAACAGUACUCGAUUCUCACUAGAAAAAACAACAGUCUUUAUUGUUGUGUGCAUAUUAGUCACUGAUUAUAGCUUUGAAUAGGACAAACUACUUUAGUAACUCUUGACUAUUGCUUGAAACAAGCAUUGAAGCAAUGGAAAGAAGCGAACGAUUAAGCUAAUGCAGCAAGAAAAGGGAUGCAGCAAGUGUCCAAAAAUCGGAUAUGCCCGGUGAAAAUUAGAAACAAGGCUGAGGAAGGAUUUCGUACUGCCACAAUGCUCUUGAUAGAAGGAAGCAUGAAUACCGAAGGCCUACCUAGUUGAAAUAGGAACAUCUAUGGAAGUCCUCGGCCAAACGAAUAUUUCACGGAAAGCCGACAAGGGAUUUUCUUAAUAACUGGGCGCUUUAAUAUUUUGGAACAACUCGAUGAAUUUAGUAGAUCUUUUUAGGAGGCCUUCCAUGACCAUAGAUCGAACCUAUCCCAUUUUGACAGUACGAUGGUUAGCUGUUCACGGAUUAGCUGUACUGGAAUGACACACAUAUGAGAAUCUGUACAUGAUACAGAAUAACGACAUGACACGCAAUCUUAUGACUACAGUAUGGCCUUCAUCUUUGACAACAAUCAUGACAGGUCGCGGUAUUAGCGUUAGAGAAAGGAAAGGACUUGAGGUCCGUCCACCUACAACUAAUAAAGCUCCGCCUUUGGGGACUACUACAAUAGAUAGGCAUUUGAAGGACCAAACCACCUACUGGGGACUUUGACACCCAGCCCUUAAUAAGCAGAAUCUACAACUUUGGGAUACGUAUUUACAGACUGCAAAAGAUAGAUACAAUGUUGUUACCCACCAUGCAUGCAAAUCUUAGUUCUAUGGACUACUAGUACCAGGAACGUCAUCUACUACUGCGAAACUCCCGGGGGACGCUUUUCUAACUGGUUUAGCCUCUAGAGUGGGGAGGAAGAACACCCUCUAGACCAGGAUAACUUACUAAUUCAAUUGACAAAGCGUCCUAUUUGCUAGAUUUCUAGUCGUUAGCUCUUAGUGAAGACGAAUUGCUAUCAUCUGCGGGCGGCCCUCAUUAUUGAAUUUCUCCGCCUUUGAUGCAACCAAAUUCACUAUUGAUUUACGAGUUUAUGCAUGCUUCAUUCCUAUAUCGGCAUGUAUUAUCCGUAGGCUGGUUGUGAGACAUCUUCCUCUUAGUGCUACAAAUGGCUUCUUCCUUAGUUCUUUAUAGCUCUUUUACCUCUUUUAGAUUCUUUGCAAUGUUUAGUGCGGGGAACUCUACACUAUUGUACUCAGAUGCUAUUCCUUCAAGAAAGUAUCGAAAAGCAAAAAGGGACUCGUUCACUGUAUCACAUCCAAUACAGCUAUGCCACAAGUUGACCUAACCAACUGGUAAACAAAACCCAAAUUAACGGAUCGACCUAGGAAUAGGAUGAAUAGAACCAUUGAAUCGUCACCCAAUGGAGCAGAGAGCCUUCCUUUAAGAAAGAAAUAACUCCCUACAACAACCGUGUUUCAAAACUAGAUUCAUUAUCAUAUGAUAAAUUGCAUGAAAAGAACCUUCAUUCCUACAGAGAGGUUGAAGCUAAGUUUCAAGACCUAGUACGGGCAAAGCGCAAUUCAAAACCGAAAGGAUCAAAGAAAAGGGAAUAUCACGAAGGUAAGCACAUUCUAUUUUUCUUAAUUGACAAAGAAAAGGGAGUUAUCAACCCUUUUUUCCGAAACCCUAUAACGGCUAGUUCCCAAUGCUCGGCUUCCUACCUCCUCUAACAAAAUCAAAGGUAAUAUCCUCCGUUUUCCAACAAGAUAAGUUCUACGGCAAAGGAUGUCAACGGAACAGUUUUGGUAAAGGCAAAGCCCGGGAGAAAUCCAAUAGCGUAUGGCGAUAAUGUCAUCCCCACCGAAUCCUCAUCCUCAAAGCAUUUUCUUGAAAGGGCCUAUCGCGAAAGAACUCAAGCCAAUACUUUUUCAUUUUCAUGUAGUAGAUCCUAGGAAACAUACGUACGAGAUAUUUACAACCCUUCUUCGGCAAGGGUAUCCGGUAAAAGGAGGACGGUUCCUAAUCUUUUGAUCAGCAAAGGGUUCAAUGCAUUAGUUUUCAACUAUGAACGAGUCAAUCAGCUAGAUCUACUUGCGGCAAACGACACCUUCCUUUCCAAGCCAAUGGUACGUAAGGCAAUGGUUGUUAUUGAAGUUCAGAUCAGGGAAUACCCUAGGUUUCGGCUUUUUCCACGGUUCCGUAACGGUAGGUUUCGGCUCCUCGCUACAUCCCUUCCACUCCUACUAAGGACGCUGCUGAACUGAUAGAAUUUGCCGAGCGAGCACUACCAUAACUUAUGGUAUCUGACUAGUGUUAAGCAUUAGCCAUCCAGGGAAUGAAACUAUGUGACUACCUACGCUGUCACACGGCUCCAUUUAUCGAAGAAAGGGAUAACUGCCAUUAAGGUAAUGAAAUUGACGAGGAAGAGUCCGGAGUUUGGCUGAGCCAAAGCAGAGGAACGGAGGGAAGCAACCGCCGCUGCACGGGUCCUGUGCAUUAUCAAAACUAGGCAAUGUAGUCAAUGAACAAAAGUUUCGUUUACCACUGGGGUUCUUCAUAUGCACAAUCAGCUCAGUUAACGUCCAGAGGUGUUAAUACAUAGCAAGAAUUGGAUUCUAAGUAUUGCCAUUUCGUGUUCAGAAGUCUGAAGCACAUCAUUUGUGGGAAGCAGCGAGGAAGAAAAGUGUACCGUAUUGACGGUAGUGCAGAAUGAUCUCCGUCAUGAUAUCGUACGUAUCUCUAGAGCACGAACGUACGGUAUACAACCGAGUUGCCCGACGUCGGACACAACAAACUUUCGAGCACCCUGUUCAUUUAGCCUCUUAAUCAAUGGAAAGAAAAUAGAGGUCUGCAGCAAACAAGAGCAAGCGACACUAAACUACAGUAGUGAUAAAUUGGCGGAACCUUCUGAUAAAAUGACAGAUUGGAAACCAACACGUCCAGAAAGUCUGAAGGAUAAGGCUUCUCUCGUCCAAAGAAUGGUACUGAAGGCGAAAGAUACUCCAAAAUAUGUCAUUGGAUCCAGCUGCAACAAUGAAGAGCGUCGUCUUGAAGAAAUCACUUGCUGCUUCCUCCACCAUGUUCUCCAGUAUCUGGUCUUUUCGAAGUAGCUUAUUAGCUGAUAAGCACUAGCUGAGGCAUCUAGCUGAUGAGGUAAUCUCUGCAUAUUAUACCAACCAAGUUGGUUGUUGUUACUACAUGCUGCGAGCAUUUGGGAAAAUGACAGAAACAUAAAAUGGGUUUCUAGCUGCAUAAGCACAAUUAUACAGAAAGCAGUCUCCUUUAUUCGUAUCUGGGGAAAGGGUUGGUUCUCCAAAUUAUCUUUAAAGAAUGUUAAAGUAGUACUGUAAUUUUCUGGUGAAAUGGAAAGUGGUUGCUACCAUAUUGUUUGUAGUGAUUACAUCAUAAUCCUCAUCUUCAAAGCAAGGCUAUCCACCAGGGCUUCCAAUGCUAGGCUAACCUCGGCAAAAGAACCCAAGGGAUUUGCAAAUUCUUGAAUCGAUAGACUUUCGUACAACGGCAAACAAACAGACACGAUAGAGGGUUUUACGCUACUUCACAGUCAGCAGCAAGAGUGGAUGGUAUAACUCUAGCCAGCAGACGGGAGGGAACGAAGCUCUUUCCUGAUCUUGAGCUAGAAUCCCUGACGUUGGUUGAUUUAGCUGUGGUGUAGCUUAGGAUCUUAAAGCUAUGCAGCUGGGUUGAUCCCUAUCGAUGGAAUGGAGCUUAUCAACUCAUGAAUAGCAUGGAUCACCUUCUACUAUAUCGGGCUAAGGUGCAACAAUGGAAGCAUACCAUGGAUAAUCCAGAGAUACAUCCUACCGAUGCCGAGAGCACAAAGAUCAAGCUAAGUAAACAGGUCUAGUUAAAGCCCACAGGAGUAAGGAAAAUACAAUAGGUUGCUUUUUUUCCCACCAUACCUGGCAAUGAUUGGUAUCCCUUGAUAUGUUAACACAAACUAACCAGUUGUCCCUUCCCCUAGAGGGGUUUCCUGUAUGGAUUCGUUCCCGUAAGCAUCUUCCAUGAAUUGACGUAUAUGAGCGUAGUUAUCAGGUACGCCGGGAGCUAGAUUCUAUCCCCAGGGAUAGUGAUUGAUGGCAUAGAGUUUUGAUAGAAAACUCGUAUCAAAAGCAUACCAAAAGAAAGUCUUGAUUCGAGGAACGGAGUACCGGUCCAUGAUAGAACACAGACCGGUAAGAGAAAGGAAAGUAAGCAUAGUCUUCAUUGAACCAGAAGAACAAUAAGAUUUUCCGUCAACAAAGUAACGCUGUGCAAACUCAUCUGAUCCCUGUUUGGGACUUCUUCUUCAUGUCACGAGCCGAAAUCGAACUGGCGCUUUCCAGAUGCAUGGUCCGGAUAGAUACCUAUCAGAUCGUGACUUUGAUUUCUCAGUUGAAGAGGAGACCUCCCUACAUCUGCGGGCUGGCGGUCCUGCCGGCCAGCCAACACAAAAUCCAAUUCGAGUUUGAAAUACGGAGCCAGAAAGAGUCGAGUUAGAAAUACGGAGCCAGAAAGAGUCGAGUUAGAAAUACGGAGCCAGAAAGAGUCGAGUUAGAAAUACGGAGCUUAUACUAGUUCAAUUAAAAAAUGGCGAAAAAGACUUAGAAGGGAAAAUACCAAAACCGCAUAUAAAAAGACAUAAAAAUGAACAUACAUAGGUACCAUAGGCAAAAGCGGCUGGCUGCUCAAAUAAUUAAAAUGCAUUUGAUAAAACAUAUGCAUUUGAUAAAGCAUUUGCAUUUGGUAAAACAUCUACAUUUGAGAGAAGUUCAAGUAAUCCAUAUUUGCAUUUGCGGCGACAAAAUCAAGAAUCUGAGAAUAAGGGUUUGGAGUAGGGGGAGGAGGGGAAUUUAUUGAUUCCUCCAACUCCAUGUAGUUAGAACUCACACUUUCAACGCUAAAAGCCGUCCCAUUGACCGAGUUUGGGUAUGACAAUGAAGGGUUAAAUUCCACAAUCAUUCCGUCCAUGGAAUCCGGGAUAAAAAAAGGAUCCAUCGUGACCCCCCAUCUUUUUAAGCUCUGCUCCCAAACUAAACAGAAAGGAAACGAGACUGAUCUUGACGUCGGUGUCGGUUUUUCCAAUGAAACGAAUAAGUUUUGGAUUGAGAUUUCACAUAAGCAUUGCACAAUGAUCCGCAUUAGGCAGGGAGCAGCAAUGAUACCGCCGGCCAGGAGUAAGUACCUAUCCCUCUUAUACUUAAGAAAAGAGAAGAGAAGCUGGUGUUGAGAAAUGAGAAGUGGGCUAUCCCCAGGGACUUUUUAAAAGCAGCUGAAAGGAAAUGCUGCUUCCUUUCUAUACGCUAAUUCUUGCUUUGAAGAGAUGUUCCAGACAAGGCAUUCUUAAGUCCCACCUCACCUAUAUCCAACUUUAGGUAUUCCACUGUUUCUAGUAUAAUAAGCAGGUUUAAGCCAUGGAAGACAUGAGUCACUAAAGUGUUGUUAACUAGAUCGCGAAAGAUGUGCCAAAGAGGUUUUCCAGCACAUGGAAUAGCACUCGCAGGGGCAUCCUGUCAGUCGUCAGGCCAUGCACAUUUGAAAGAAUUCCCACACACAAUGGGAGCCGUUUCAACCAUUUCUGCUCUACGUUGCAAACUAGGGGGCAUAAGCUACCAAACCCCUAGCUAAGAAUCUAUAUCAUACCGAGCAAUCAUUCUGUCUUCUUGAGAAGAAAGAACGCACGAAUCCUCGCUUUGAGCUCACAUACGAGUGCACCUAACAAGGUUUUCCAGACCUAAUAAACGUUCAUUGCAAAGAAAUGUUGACCUCUCAUUUAGAGAGGAUCAACCAUAGUUUGAGAAAAGAAAAGUGCACACUGGCAUUAUGCCUCGUAAAGCUACCCCCAUUCAUAGCUUUAUACACUGUCUGCUCGAAUAGCUUCAUUUAAAUGUUAGGAUGACCCGCAAGGUUGUCUAAAAUAGCUUCCACCUAUCUAGUUUCCAUGUGGCACGCCAACCACAAUCACUUCAUCCCUUGGGUUCUUUAUCAUAGCUGCCUACCUCUUCAGAUCAAGGAUCAAAGACUACAGGAGCUCAAAGUUAUUGUCGCACACUUCCAUCUAGGAGAUGCAUGUUAAGCUAUCCCUUGGAUUAUAGCCUAGGAGAUCGAUUGGCAGGCCUUGUUGUAUGAAAAGAGUAUCCUUAUGGUUUAGGAACCCCAACAUCUAUUGAAAAGUAUGAUGCACCCCUCGGUUUACCAACAUUUCCAUUCAAUCUCAUUUAGAUUCUAUUAACUAACAAGCCAGGAUCCAAUUCCAUUUCAACCGCUGAGGUCAUUAACGAACUAGAAAAGAGCUAAGGAACUAUUUCCAGAUACCUAAUCGGGUGCUGAACGAACUACUACUUCAAUAUGUCAUUGCAAUUUCAAAUGGGUUUCGAUGGCACUCAAGCAGCCUCACUACUUCGAUCUCAGUAACCUAAUGAUCUCCCCAAACCAACUCAUUCUCGGAAGGAGACAUGGCCAAGGGUGAACAAGAUAUGAUGGCUGAGAAUCUCUAUUCCUACAAAAUAACAUGAUUCACAUGCUCAAUACCCAGGACGGUGGUUCCUCCCGCCUGGCAGGUCUAAGAAUACAACCCCUACGACACAGUUGAAACCAAUUGUCUCUCACUUCAAAGAUGGACCCUCUGUUCCUUUGAAAUGCCUUUGAUACAUCAAUUCUGCACUUUUGAAAUUGAAGAUCUAGGUCCAAGAGGAAUGAAAUGAGCAUACCAGGAGUUGUCUAUUCACAUGUCAUAUGAAGAAUACUUAUUUUCAGAGAGUGCCUCCAGGUUCUCUAGUAGCUAUAUCAAACCACAACUCUGUACUAGCCAAGAGGCUUCGGUACUAACGAACACACCAGGAUUCAAAGAUGCAAAAAUAAAAAGGAAGAUAAUACCACUGCUGUAGAUGCACGCCCUUCUCUUAGUUGAGAAGAACACAGGUAAGAAAGUCUAGAAAGUUCUGAGACUGGGGUAGGUGAAUCCAUUGACCUUGACGUAGGGCUUUCCCCUCCACCCGAUGGUGAUUGACUUACUGAAGACCGGCCCUAAGCCAUUAAUGAAUUGAGCCUGGUGAACCAUUGAUAUAGCACUCUGUGGGGCGAAGGCUAUGCUUAUCAUGAUAGUUUACAGAAGCUCUUUCCUGAUCUGGAAUAGACGAAUCCUAACAAGAUUCUAGACAUAUGCGGGAUGAAACAACAUCUACUCGAAUUUCAUUCACAAAGCCAUCAAGGCGGCGCUCAAGAGAGGUUGUUGUCUACCUAAUGCCAUCCCUUCAAUUAGAUUGUAAAGGCAGUUGCCUCGGUUUCAUGGGUUUCGAUACCCCAGCAAUGUGCAAGAACAUCCUCGAAAACGUCUGAUGUGACUUCACCUGAAAGUGCAUCUGGAACCGCUCCCAGUGCUGAUUUAGAUGCUGUAGGAACGAACAAAGAUUGUGGUGCUGAAACAAACGGACAACAGGAUCUGUCCUCUAUUGGCGUUUGAUAGCUCAUUGCUACCUCGCCAGAGGGAUGGGGAGAUAGACUCUGACCCAGAUCUCGCUAUAGCCGCCAAC